CUCUCUGAAUCUGCGAACGGCUCCGCAAACCAGUUGUAAACAUAGGCAUGUCCCGCUCUUGGCUGGCCCUUUCGGGGGCUGGCCUUGGGCAACUAUAUGGAUACCCGUGGUAAUUCUGAGGCUAAUACAUGACAAUGCUACCCUGCCAUCGGGCUGCUGGUGCCUCUCGGGGCGCUGGCGGUCUGGUGGCGGGGGACGCGCGAGACUAGGCUGGGUAAUUCGGGAAAGAACGCGCGUUCAGACCACCGUUAAGGGCUUUGCGUAGUGGGGUGCGGCUUGCCGUGCUUCGCUUGCUUGGCCUGGUGGCUCUUGCUUCGUGCUUCUGACCUAUCAACUAGAUGGCAGCAUACGGGACAUGCCAUGGUGACAACGGGUACAGAGGAUCAGGGUUCGAUCCUGGAGAGUGGGCCUGAGAGAUU
rnacentral:rRNA from 1 species